rnacentral:rRNA from 1 species
UGGGGAAUAUUGGACAAUGGGGGCAACCCUGAUCCAGCGAUGCCGCGUGUGUGAAGAAGGCCUGCGGGUUGUAAAGCACUUUAGUUGGGGAGGAAAGGUAUGUACUGCAUAAGUGCAUGCUGUGACGUUACCCAAAGAAUAAGCACCGGCAAACUCUGUGCCAGCAGCCGCGGUAAUACAGAGGGUGCAAGCGUUAAUCGGACUUACUGGGCGUAAAGGGUGCGUAGGCGGAAGGAUAAGUUAGUUGUGAAAGGCCUGGGCUUAACCUGGGAACUGCAGUCGAUACUGGGUAUCUAGAGUAUGAUAGAGGAUAGUGGAAUUCCCGGUGUAGCAGUGAAAUGCGUAGAUAUCGGGAGGAACACCAGUGGCGAAGGCGACUUUCUGGAUCAAUACUGACGCUGAGGAGCGAAAGCGUGGGGAGCAAACAGGAUUAGAUACCCGUGUAGUCCCUGAGCGGGCUGGCAAGGCGCAU